UCCUCUCAUCGCCUGGGUGGACAUGGAGUCCAGUCCGAAGAUACUCACCAUUUUCUGUGGAUGGAUCUGUGCGCGCGUAGGACUACCCGGUCCCGAUCCCCUGUAAAGAGACAGAGGAAGGUAGGACCAGACCAAAGGGGGUCCCCAUGGGCUAAAUUCCUUCUUUGGGUCGCAGAUAACACCAGGAAUCCCCAAAGCCAUGUGUUAUCAAGUAGAGUAACAGCUUGGUGAACCAGAACUUCACAGCCCGUCAGAUACAUUCACUCUGUGCAUCCCAGAUACUAUCAGAGACACACCUCUACUCAAAGCCGUUGUUAUCAAAUACGGUGACAGCUUGGAGAACCUGAACUUUGCGUGUGCGCGCAGGGCAGACAUGCAUGAAUUGUAACUUAAAAGAAAUGUUGCCAUCCAGGGCUUUGGUCAGACCAGACUUAGCGUUUGGGACCCGUGAGAUGGCGUAGCAGGAGAGUGCUCCUGCUGCCAAGCCUGACAACCUGAGUUCGAUCCCGGGACCCACAUGGUGGAAGGCGAGUACUCCCUUACAUCUCAACUGCCUGUUCCGAAACAGCCCACAGCUGUUACGGGAGAAAAUCCAGUCAUACUUCAGGCAGGGGUUAAAAUCCACAAUUUACAUAGAACUGCCAAAGUUAAAUACUGAGGGAACAAAGCUGCCACCUGGACUGGUGAAGGGAACAGACUUUGGCCCUUAGCAGAGGAUGGGGGUGUGGAUACCUGCCCCUGCCUCCGUGCUGCCAUGGCAACCACUCCAGAGCACAUCCCUAAAACCACCCCAUGACUCUGGGGUCCGCCCCUUGGCCGACCUUCUCAUCUGUUUCCUGAGUCCCUGUGACGACUUUGGAUUCCUGUCUUGGGGGUCUGCCCCUAGAGGAUCUCAAGUUCUUCCCAGCACCCCGCGGACAGUCAACACCCACCAAGGGGGUCCUUCCCCUCCCCCACAGUCCCUCGGCUUCACGCCACAGACCGACAGUCCACAGCUGGCAACAGCCCAGAGACCUGGUGGGCUGGGACAGGCACUGUGGUAGUGGCUGGUGCAGCGGGGUGCCGGGCCCCUGCUAGUAAACAACAAGAAACAACUCAACAAAAAGAAACACCCGUGGAUACAGAGAAAGAAGAAUGGCUGCCAUAGCCAUUCUAGAAAGCACAGCAAGCCCACAGCUGAGGUGUCGAAGCUUCAGGAAAGAGGAUUCCAGCUAUUCAGGAGGCUGAGCCUGGAGCCUGAAGACCAUUUGAGAGCAUGACGGAUGUCAAGACUUCCAGGCCAGCCUAGACUACUGAGGAACACUGACUCAAAAUGCAAAAAUAAAAUAAAAUAAAACAAGAUG
ensembl:antisense Gm27045 predicted gene, 27045